GAGUUUGAUCCUGGCUCAGAUUGAACGCUGGCGGCAUGCCUUACACAUGCAAGUCGAACGGCAGCACGGGUGCUUGCACCUGGUGGCGAGUGGCGAACGGGUGAGUAAUACAUCGGAACAUGUCCUGUAGUGGGGGAUAGCCCGGCGAAAGCCGGAUUAAUACCGCAUACGAUCUGAGGAUGAAAGCGGGGGACCUUCGGGCCUCGCGCUAUAGGGUUGGCCGAUGGCUGAUUAGCUAGUUGGUGGGGUAAAGGCCUACCAAGGCGACGAUCAGUAGCUGGUCUGAGAGGACGACCAGCCACACUGGGACUGAGACACGGCCCAGACUCCUACGGGAGGCAGCAGUGGGGAAUUUUGGACAAUGGGCGAAAGCCUGAUCCAGCAAUGCCGCGUGUGUGAAGAAGGCCUUCGGGUUGUAAAGCACUUUUGUCCGGAAAGAAAUCCUUGGUUCUAAUAUAGCCGGGGGAUGACGGUACCGGAAGAAUAAGCACCGGCUAACUACGUGCCAGCAGCCGCGGUAAUACGUAGGGUGCAAGCGUUAAUCGGAAUUACUGGGCGUAAAGCGUGCGCAGGCGGUUUGCUAAGACCGAUGUGAAAUCCCCGGGCUCAACCUGGGAACUGCAUUGGUGACUGGCAGCUAGAGUAUGGCAGAGGGGGGUAGAAUUCCACGUGUAGCAGUGAAAUGCGUAGAGAUGUGGAGGAAUACCGAUGGC
rnacentral:rRNA from 1 species